GUAAAACCACAGAAGAAGAGGCUGAGCGCGAAUCUUUUCACAACAAGGCGCUGAUGCAGUGAAUUGGUCCACCACACUGCUGGAGUUUGGUUAAUGCAGAGUUGAUGUGGAUCAAUGUAAUGCCUCUUGAAUCACGGUUCAUCUCCCCGUUGGACAAGCACACGGAUAACCUGAUGAAGGUAUUCCGCAACAAGGGGGGAGAUCCGUCAGAUAAUGUCAUUGACAACUAAGACAGAUGACGUACACGUGAAGCGAGAGUGCAUGUUGAAAUCCCCGUGUCCACCUGAACGAGGACACCAAGCCACUUGUCAAGGAAUACUUGCUGAAGCAUCAACAUAGAUGACAUGGAGAGGGAGCUUCCUCUGACAACCAUGGGGGUCUACGUGGUCAGAAAAGAAAAUGCACAGCCCGAAGAAGAUCCAGAGGGCGUGGGAGUGCUGAUUGAAGGGGUGGAGGUCCUUGCUGGCCUACCAAGUAUCACUUGUGGAUGCGUCAUGCUGUUUGGAUUGAUCUAUGCACUCAAUGUGAGCUCCCCACAACACGAGCGUGGAAGUGUACAUUUGACGUGUACCAGAAGAUACUGAUGAACCUAGAUGGUAAGAAGCUUUCACCAAAAGUUCAGUGUCUGAAAAUCAAGAUGCUGCAGUGAUCUAUUUGAUGCAGUCAUGCUUCACCAGUGGACUCUUUGUGACUCUUCCUUCUAUGCUUUCAAUCUUUCACUUGUGAUGGAAACAAAUCUUGGACAUUGUUGUGUUGUUAUUGUUGCACUUAAAUGUUUACCUGCUUUUCCAUUGGACUUGUUGGACUCAACAUACCACAGUUUGCAUUUAUGAUGGCCAUGCUUUUUGUGUUAACACUCAUGUUCUUGUGUGGAUACAUGACUCUCUUGAUUUAGGAUGGUUCUAUUCUUGGUGUGUUGUCUGUCAUAAAAAGUUAUUGUCAUAUCGAGAAUGUUGCAUUCAUUUGAAGGGAAAACAAUCUUCAGAAUGAAUGAGAUCAUUAUCUCAGAAUUGAGAUGAAUCCCUUUCUGACCACUCACUUGCUGACUCCAGCUGGUAGUUUACUGUCCCUCACACAUCCCUGCAAAGCUGAAGCAUCAGCAUCCAGUGAAGUCAUCACAAUUUGUGGGGAAAUUGUAAACAAAAUGUAUUUUUCACACUACAGUCACUUUUCUUAGUUCAUGUUUUUGUUGAAGAUUUAUCUGCAUGGGGAAUAUCAUUCUUGGCAUGUUGGAUACUCGCAUCAUACUUGAUGCAUUUUAAAAUAGGUUUUCCCAAGAUGUCCUGAUGUUACCUGAAGGAAAAUUGUCUUGGUUAUGAACAGUUAAACAUGAUGUUUUCAUUUAUUCAAACACUGUCCGUUUCUUUAAACUGUUUGUUGAAAGCAAUAAAUUGCUUCAUCAGUAUCUUCUGGUACACUUCAAAUGUACAC